rnacentral:rRNA from 1 species
UACGGAGGAUGCGAGCGUUAUCCGGAUUUAUUGGGUUUAAAGGGUGCGUAGGCGGACUUUUAAGUGAGAUGUGAAAUACUCGGGCUCAACUUGAGUGCUGCAUUUCAAACUGGAAGUCUAGAGUGCAGGAGAGGAGAAUGGAAUUCCUAGUGUAGCGGUGAAAUGCGUAGAGAUUAGGAAGAACACCAGUGGCGAAGGCGAUUCUCUGGACUGUAACUGACGCUGAGGCUCGAAAGCGUGGGGAGCAAACAGG